UGGCACUUUUCGUGAAUGUCAUAAAAGUAAUAAAUUCCGUUCGUUCAGUUUUGUUCUAAUUUCGUGUUUAAUCGCCUUUUUUUGCGUUAAAAGACACAUUUUACUAUCGUUUAGUGUUUUUAAAUCGUGUCCGUAAAGUUCUCAUAACGGUGUGUGCAUUUCCUUUAAGAUGGACCUGACGACCCCUCUAAUAUUUCUUUCUAUAUUCGUUUUGGGCUCCUUGUCCCUAUUUUUGGUUUAUACUUAUGGCAUGAAGAAGAAGAGUUACGAAGAGGCUUUGGCCGAGCACCGGAAAAUGACCAAUGCCUUGUUGGGCAAUAAGCCAAAACCCAAUAAGGAGAAAAAAAUUAAAAAAGCCACCAAGAAGAUUAAUAAGGAGACAAAAACCAAUAAGACUGUGGAAAAUGAACUUUCUGAUGAUAUAGAAACUGUUGAUGCUCAAGAGAAAGAGGUGGAACUGGUUGACCCUGUUAAACAAAAAAAUAAUGGACCAAAAGGAAAAAGUGCCAACAAAUCCAAGGAAAAGGUCCAUGUAGAGUUCAAACCUGAGCCUGAAGAGCUACCGGUAGAACCACUGCCAGUUGAAAAAGAAGUCAAGGAGGUCAUCAAUAAGAAAAAAUCAAAAAAAGUGCGUCCGAUCUUAUUGAAAAGUACUUCAGAGUUGGAGAUUGUAUCGCAGGCAGCCAUCGAAACGCCCGUUUUAAAUCAUUUCGAGGAAAUACAUCCUAAGGAUGAUCGUGAAUUGUUGUUGAUGCAUGCCGGCAGUAAAGAAGAAACUGUAAAAGCGGUCGAAGACAAAAAACCCCAAAAGAAGAACAAACAGAACCGUCAAGAAAAAGUGCCGGAACCGCAACGGAUCGAGAAAACCGAAACGGUGGCGGCACCCGAACCCAUAGCGGUGUCGGAAGAACUGCCGGUUGUGUGCCCCCAACCGGUGCAGGAACCCCCCGUAAAUAGCGCUAAGGAAAAAAAGAAAAAGAAAACCGAGUUUAACUCGAGACAGCAGAUGAUUGCCGAAAGGGAUCAGCUUAUCCACUCGGUGACGAAUGCCGAACUUUCCCGCACCGAAGUGCAAAUGCUGAUCGAUCUGUUGCUUAAUAAGCAGCUGGAGGCGCCGGCUGUCAUCGACGAUUGGAGUGAGGGUAAAUCCGAUCCGGUUCAAAAGCUAAAAAAGCAACUGGCCGACAAAGAGAAGCAGCUGCAAGACGAGCAGGAGGCGCUGCUCGGGGUCCAGGCGAAACUGAAGGAGAUCCGCCACGAGCAGCAAACGGAGCGGGCGCAACUCCAACUGAAGCUGAAACAGUCGGAGGAGGCGCGUGCGGACGCGGUCGCGGCCCGCAAUCGCCUCCAGCAGAACCUGCAGGAGUUGGAGGAGUUCAGGAGCAACUUUCAUCGCGUCGUGGAGGAGAAUAAGGCGCUGCUAGGGGACAGGGGCCGGCUGGAGGCCACCUUGAUCCGGUUACAGGAGACCGACGCCGUCCUACACACGAUAAAAUCCGAAAACGCCCACCUGACCAACGAACUGCACCGACUUACGCAGGAACGCCAGGAACAGGACCUGACCCUGAACAAUUGCCUCGUACAGUUGCAAACCAUGCAGGAGGAAGUACAACGUAAUCAGUCGUUCGCUUUGAGUGAACAAGAAGAGACCCGCCAACUAGCCGAGAAGCUGCAAACGAUGGUGCAGGAGGAGCAACGACUUAACGAGGUUAUCGCGCAAUUGAAUGCGGAAAACGUGUCGCUCCGCGAAGAAAACGACAAAAAACUGAACGGCUCCUUGGAGGAAUCAAAGGAGCACAAGAUCAAACUGCUCAACCUCGACAACGAACUGUCCUCGGUCAAAAACGAUCUGUCGGCGGCCAAUCGAAACCUGCUGGAGGCGGAACGACAACACCGCGAGGAAAUCACGAACACGAGACAACAGUGCGAGCAGUUGAAGACCGAACUGGAGGAGCAAAAAAACAAAAACAACGAAUUACGCAAAAAGAACUGGAAAGUGAUGGAAGCCCUAAACGAGGCGGAAAGCAGGAAAAAUAAGGAGUCGGCCGAAAUCCGGUUAAGGGAACAGACCGCGCACAAGCAGUUCCUACAGCGACUGUUUCCGGAAGUGGAGGCCCUCGGCGCCGAUUCCCUUGGAGGCGAGUGGCUUGUGGAGGUGGAAAAGGGCAUCAGACAGCACAUCGACACUUUACAGAAGGGCAAAUCGAGCGGGGAGGGUGCCGAAGUGGUCAAAUUACAAGCAGAGGUGCUGAAGUAUAAAACGGUCAUCGAUGAAACGGAAGGGAUGUUAACCAACUUGGAGUCUUAUAUACAGCAAGAGGAGCGGACUUUGAGGGGACGCCUGGCGGAAAAAGACUCCGAAAUCCAAGAGUUGAAGAGUCACUUUUCUCAGUUGUACGGAAUGAAUCGCUCAGAUUCCAAUGGGGUCGAGUUCGCUUAUCGUUGCAUCGAACAGUCUCUGCCGAAAAUCAUCGCGGAGCUCCAAAUAAAAGUGUCAUCGUUAGAGGAGCAACUGACUCAAGAACAAUCGGAAAAGUCCCGACUGCUCUCAGAACGACAACUGCAACUGAACCGACCGGAGAGCAAAGCGGUACUGUCGGAAUCGACCGCUACGAUAGAAAAACUGUCGGAAGUAUGUUAUAGCAUUUUACCGUUUUAGGAGGUAGAUCGGUUGAAAGAGCAAUUGCGAUUAGAACAAGUUAAAAAUAAGGAGGCCACGCGACUCGUCUACCAAAAUGGCGAGGCCAGUUAAUAUACCGACUGAUAACAUUUUGCAACGUUAAGAGGAUAAAAGAAAAACAACCAUUAUUAGGUGUGUGCAUGUGUACUAAAAAUAAGAGUCUAUAUUUAUUAAUUGUUAAUACUUUUCUACUACGAUCAUUCCUCAAUAAUUAAUUAACAUUUUAUUAUUAUUUUUGUUUGUGCAAUAAUUUUUUUGCUUUUAGUGUUUUGUUUGUUUUUGGUCGUGCGAAUAGCCGAUUUAUUAUUGAAUCGUGAGAUUAAAGUUAGCACGAAUUUUGAUUUUUUCUAUUAUAACUCACUACAUCUUAUCGAUUAGUUCGUAUUAUUACUAUUAUUAUUAUAAAUUAAAAAAAACUUACAGUCGUAAAGGCGAGGUUUUAACACUUUUUUUUGUAUUUUGUAUUCUAUUAUUAUUAUUAUUAUUAUUAUUAUUGAUGUCAGCCCUUUAUUUGUAUUGUAUUAGCUUUAAGUUCUAUUGUAAUAAAUACAAUAUAUUUGAAAAAAUGAGA